rnacentral:rRNA from 1 species
GGACUACCGGGGUUUCUAAUCCUGUUUGCUCCCCACGCUUUCGCGUCUCAGCGUCAGUCACCGUCCAGGAGGCCGCCUUCGCCACCGGUGUUCUUCCAGAUAUCUACGCAUUUCACCGCUACACCUGGAAUUCCACCUCCCUCUCCGGGACUCUAGUCUCGCAGUUUCCGACGCACUUCCCGAGGUGAGCCCGGGGCUUUCACGCCAGACAUACGAAACCGCCUACACGCCCUUUACGCCCAGUAAUUCCGAGCAACGCUUGCACCCUCCGUAUUACCGCGGCGGCUGGCAC